UACGUAGGGGGCAAGCGUUAUCCGGAUUCACUGGGCGUAAAGGGAGCGCAGGCGGCAUGGCAAGUCUGAUGUGAAAACCCGGGGCCCAACCCCGGGAGUGCAUUGGAAACUGCCAGGCUGGAGUGUCGGAGGGGUAAGCGGAAUUCCUAGUGUAGUGGUGAAAUGCGUAGAUAUUAGGAGGAACACCAGUGGCGAAGGCGGCUUACUGGACUGUAACUGACGUUGAGGCUCGAAAGCGUGGGGAGCAAACAGG
rnacentral:rRNA from 1 species